rnacentral:rRNA from 1 species
UACGGAGGGUGCGAGCGUUAUCCGGAUUCACUGGGUUUAAAGGGUGCGUAGGUGGGCAGGUAAGUCAGUGGUGAAAUCUCCGGGCUUAACCCGGAAACUGCCAUUGAUACUAUCAGUCUUGAAUACCGUGGAGGUAAGCGGAAUAUGUCAUGUAGCGGUGAAAUGCUUAGAUAUGACAUAGAACACCAAUUGCGAAGGCAGCUUACUACCCGAAUAUUGACACUGAGGCACGAAAGCGUGGGGGAUCAAACAGG